rnacentral:tRNA from 1 species
UAAAAUAAGGCAAAAUUUUAGCGUUUCAGUUACAUUGAAAAGAUAGUCGGGUGAACGAUUUAUUUUAA